rnacentral:rRNA from 1 species
UACGUAGGGGGCAAGCGUUGUCCGGAAUCAUUGGGCGUAAAGCGCGCGUAGGCGGCCCGGUAAGUCCGCUCUGAAAGUCCAGGGCUCAACCCUGGAAAGCGGGUGGAUACUGCCGGGCUAGAAUCCGGAAGAGGCGAGUGGAAUUCCUGGUGUAGCGGUGGAAUGCGCAGAUAUCGGGAGGAACACCAGUGGCGAAGGCGGUUACCUGGAGCUUUGCUGACGCUGAUGCGCGAAAGCGUGGGGAGCGAUCCGG